GGGGAAUAUUGGACAAUGGGGGGAACCCUGAUCCAGCCAUGCCGCGUGUGUGAAGAAGGCCUUAUGGUUGUAAAGCACUUUAAGCGAGGAGGAGGCUCUUUUGGUUAAUACCCAAGAUGAGUGGACGUUACUCGCAGAAUAAGCACCGGCUAACUCUGUGCCAGCAGCCGCGGUAAUACAGAGGGUGCGAGCGUUAAUCGGAUUUACUGGGCGUAAAGCGUGCGUAGGCGGCUUUUUAAGUCGGAUGUGAAAUCCCCGAGCUUAACUUGGGAAUUGCAUUCGAUACUGGGAAGCUAGAGUAUGGGAGAGGAUGGUAGAAUUCCUAGUGUAGCGGUGAAAUGCGUAGAUAUUAGGAGGAACACCGGUGGCGAAGGCGGCUUGCUGGACAAAUACUGACGCUGAGGUGCGAAAGCGUGGGGAGCAAACA
rnacentral:rRNA from 1 species